GCCUGUGCAGACUGCAUAUACAUUAAGUCCUAUUAAAGUGUCAUCCCAGAUUAGCCUGUGCAGACUGCGCAUACAUCAAGUCCUAUUAAAGUGUCAUCCCAGAUUAGCCUGUGCAGACUGCGCAUACAUUAAGUCCUAUUAAAGUAUCAUCCCAGAUUAGCCUGUGCAGACUGCGCAUACAUUAAGUCCUAUUAAAGUGUCAUCCCAGAUUAGCCUGUGCAGACUGCGCAUACAUUAAGUCCUAUUAAAGUGUCAUCCCAGAUUAGCCUGUGCAGACUGCACAUACAUUAAGUCCUAUUAAAGAAUCAUCCCAGCUUAGCCUGUGCAGACUGCGCAUACAUUAUGUCCUAUUUAUCUGAGAAUGAGGCUCAUAUAGUUCACUUUACGUCAGUCCUUUUUCUGCCUGAUUGAGGAAAAGUUCCUAGCAUAAAAUGUGAAUUCUCUGAUUUUAAAUUUAUCAAACUUGGUAAAUAAAUAGCAAAUAAAAGUUAAUCUGAUAUCAGUUUGAAUCAUAGGUCAGGGCAUAGUUGUGUCUAUUUUUCUGCUGAAAUUUAGCCCUUGAACAACAGUUUCUUCUUGCAAUAAAAAAUCCACUUUAAUUAUUAAAUUCUAUUAAAUUUAAGUAAAACAAUUAUUUAAUGCCUUCUGCACAUUAUAAAAUUAUUAUCUUCAUUUAUUUUCAAUAUUUAUUUAAAUUGCCGAAUUUUGUUUUAAGAGCUAGUUCCUAGCAAUCAUAGAUCGGUACCCUGCUGAAAAACAGGAUCUCUGGUCAGCUGGGCCCAGAUGCCCAGCAACACGUCCUAGCCCAGGACCUUGGGGCAAAUGCUCAACAUGUCCUAUCUGCAUGGUGAAGCCAGUCUAAUUCUUGGGCUCCAAACUCUCCUGCUGUGGGGCCGAGAUUACCUCAUCCAUAAGAGGCCUUAUACUCACAAGUUCAGGCCCAGAGAACGGCGUUCCCCAACUACAACACAACCAAUACGUCUCAAUAAAGGACACCCUUCCUGAAAACCUCGCUGAGUGCGACUGCGCCAUACGUGACCCUUCAGUGAAAUGAGAUUCCAGGUGGAAUGUCAAACAGCGUAUCUUGUUAAGUGUUUGGCAGUACCAAGCCACGUCGAGGCAGCAGCAAAAACAACAGUAGCAGUCUAGUAAGCUGUCUUACACGUUUGAGCUACCUAGUUGUAGCAGUUUUCAGCAACGUUGUCACAAUAUGGAUUGUUUUAAUAAAACAUAAUGGAGUUAUAGAGCAUAAUUACUUAUUCGUGUGUAAGAUCGUACUUUUAUAAUGCACUUUCAUCAACAACACUGAUGCAUAUGCAUGACAUCUAAUAAAAGUAUUAAUGCACAAACUAAAGUAUGAAUUUCUUUAUAAUUUAACUUAUUCGCAAACAUUAGUUUCAAAACAUAUUUAAGCAUAUCGAUAUUUUUAGCUCAUCUAUUUUUUGAAAAAAAAUUAUGAGCUAUUGUCAUCACCUUGGCGUCGGUGUCCGGUUAAGUUUUGCGUUUAGGUCCACUUUUCUCACAAAGUAUCAAUGCUAUUGCAUUCAAACUUGGUACACUUACUUACUAUCAUGAGGGGACUGGGCAGGCAAAGUUAGAUAACUCUGGUGUGCAUUUUGACAGAAUUAUGUGCCCUUUUUAUACUUGGAAAAUUGAAAAUUUUGGUUAAGUUUUGUGUUUAGGUCCAUUUCAUUCCUGAGGUAUCAAAGCCAUUGCUUUCAUACUUGCAACACGUACUAACUAUCAUAAGGGGACUGUGCAGGCAAAGUUAUGUAACUCUGACUGGCAUUUUGACAGAAUUAUGUGCCCUUUCUAUACUUAGAAAAUUGAAAAAAUUUAAGUUUUGUGUUAAGGUCCACUUUAUUCUACAGUAUCAAAGCUAUUGCUUUCAUACUUGCAACACUUAUUAACUAUCAUAAGGGGACUGUACAUGCAAAGUUAUGUAAUUCUGACUGGCAUUUGGACAGAAUUAAGGGCCCUUUAUACUUAGAAAUUUGGUUAAGUUUUGUGUUUUGGUCCACUUUACCCCUAAAGUAUCAUAGAUAUUGCUUUUAUGCUUGGAACACUCGCAAACUAUCAUAAGGGGACAGUAAAAAGACAAGUUGCAUAACUCUAAUUGUCAUUUUUAUGGAAUUAUUACCCUUUUUUGACUUAGUAACUUUGAAUAUAUGGUUAAAUUUUGUGUUUCGAUCCACUUUACUUCUAAAGUAUCAAGGCUAUUGCUUUCAAACUUCAAAUACUUUCAUGCUAUCAUGAGGUUGCUGUACCUGGAAAGUUGAAUUUUACC